rnacentral:rRNA from 1 species
UACGUAGGCAGCAAGCGUUGUUCGGAAUUACUGGGCGUAAAGAGUUCGUAGGCGGUGCGGCAAGUUCGGUGUGAAAUCUCCCGGCUCAACUGGGAGGGUGCGCUAAAUACUGCCGUGCUCGAGUAUAGGAGAGGUAAGCGGAAUUCCUGGUGUAGCGGUGAAAUGCGUAGAUAUCAGGAGGAACACCUGUGGUGUAGACGGCUUACUGGACUAUAACUGACGCUGAGGCACGAAAGUGUGGGGAGCAAACAGG